AUGUUAUGUUGGGAAAAAAUCCAUUUUGAAGUGUGCGAAAUUAGUGAAUUUUGAGUUUAAAGUGUAAGGUGCAAAACAUGCAAAGGUGAGGUUUCCAAAUUUGGCCAAUGUUCAAGCCCCUCUAUUUUGAUGAUGCAAGCCUCAAAUGAAAAAACCUCCAACAUCAAAGUUGUAGAUCUUUUCAAGACAAUUAAAAUGGACUGAACCUUUGCAUCAUUUGGAUUUUUGAUGAAAGAGUUAUGGGCACUUGAAG
rnacentral:lncRNA from 1 species